AAAAUAUAUGCCUAUGACCUCAUUACCUGAGUAAUUGGUUGCAAUAUAGACCUGACUUAAGGAGCCCAUCUUCAUCAUUGCCCCCUGAGACUCAAUGGUUUGGGUGAACUGAC